CGCCAGAAUCUGUCACAAACUGGCAGGCUGUAGUAAAACGUUCAUAACUCCCUAAUUCCUUGGAAUUUUGAGGAAAACCUUUUUUGUAAUUAAAAUAGACAUCUAGAGGUUUAUUUUGGUGUAGGGCUCGACCCCUAGUUAUCUCCGAGCUAAGUCAGUUUAUUAUAUGAAGUUGAUGUAAUGCAGUCAAUAUUUUUCUAAAGCUUUAAAAGUUGAGAAUAAAGGUUUUUAUGCUAAAAGGGAGAUAGAUAGAUGUGAUAUUUUGGCUUACAUAUUUGUGCUUUAAGUGUUUAUUUAUGAAGUGUAUAUGUGGCUAUUUUAAACCUAGGUGAACACGGUGCAAGCACAAGCAAUAAGGGAAAGGAGCACCUCCCUGGUUGACUAAGCCAGUAAUAGCGUUUUUUUUGACGUGUACAGAGUAUAGAAGCGAGUGAGCUCGCUAGUUGGCAGCAGCACGUGUCAAGUCACUACCCUCCCUUUUUGCUGGUAAAGUUGGAGUUCUCACGUGGCAUGCUUAGGCUAACUUUUGGUUGUUUGUAGUUAGUUGGAAAUGUAAGGUUAUAACCUUCUUUUUGCUAGUGAAGUUGUAUAAAUAUCUAUCGAAACAGGUUAAUGUUGUUUUGUUAUGUACAGUAGUAAACAGUUGUGUUAUCAGGUUUAGUUUCUUUUA